AUUGAACGCUGGCGGCAGGCCUAACACACGCAAGUCGAGCGGAUGAGAGGAGCUUGCUUCUCGAUUCAGCAGCGGACGGGUGAGUAAUGCCUAGGAAUCUGCCUGGUAGUAGGGGACAAAGUUUCGAAAGGAACGCUAAUACCGCAUACGUGCUGCGGGAGAAAGCAGGGGACCUUGGGGCCUUGCGCUAUCAGAGGAGCCUAGGUCGGAUUAGCUAGUUGGUGAGGUACUGGCUCACCAAGGCGACGAUCCGUAACUGGUCUGAGAGGAGGGUCAGUCACACUGGGACUGAGACACGGUCCAGACUCCUACGGGAGGCAGCAGUGGGGAAUAUUGGACAAUGGGCGAAAGCCUGAUCCAGCCAUGCCGCGUGUGUGAAGAAGGUCUUCGGAUUGUAAAGCACUUUAAGUUGGGAGGAAGGGUUGUAGAUUAAUACUCUGCAAUUUUGACGUUACCGACAGAAUAAGCACCGGCUAACUCUGUGCCAGCAGCCGCCGUAACAC
rnacentral:rRNA from 1 species